GUAGGUGGCAAGCGUUGUCCGGGAAUUAUUGGGGCGUAAAGCGCGCGCAGGCGGUUCUUUAAGUCUGAUGUAAAAGCCCACGGGCUCAACCGUGGAGGGUCAUUGGAAACUGGAGAACUUGAGUACAGAAGAGGAAAGCGGAAUUCCACGUGUAGCGGUGAAAUGCGUAGAGAUGUGGAGGAACACCAGUGGCGAAGGCGGCUUUCUGGUCUGUAACUGACGCUGAGGCGCGAAAGCGUGGGGAGCAAACAGGAUUAGAUACCCUGGUAGUCCACGCCGUAAACGAUGAGUGCUAAGUGUUAGGGGGUUUCCGCCCCUUAGUGCUGCAGCUAACGCAUUAAGCACUCCGCCUGGGGAGUACGGCCGCAAAGGCUGA
rnacentral:rRNA from 1 species